GAUGAACGCUGGCGGCGUGCCUAAUACAUGCAAGUCGAGCGAACGGACUAGAAGCUUGCUUCUCUGAUGUUAGCGGCGGACGGGUGAGUAACACGUGGAUAACCUACCUAUAAGACUGGGAUAACUUCGGGAAACCGUAGCUAAUACCGGGUAAUAUUUUGAACCGCAUGGUUCAAAAGUGAAAGACGGUCUUGCUGUCACUUAUAGAUGGAUCCGCGCUGCAUUAGCUAGUUGGUAAGGUAACGGCUUACCAAGGCAACGAUGCAUAGCCGACCUGAGAGGGUGAUCGGCCACACUGGAACUGAGACACGGUCCAGACUCCUACGGGAGGCAGCAGUAGGGAAUCUUCCGCAAUGGGCGAAAGCCUGACGGAGCAACGCCGCGUGAGUGAUGAAGGUCUUCGGAUCGUAAAACUCUGUUAUUAGGGAAGAACAUAUGUGUAAGUAACUGUGCACAUCUUGACGGUACCUAAUCAGAAAGCCACGGCUAACUACGUG
rnacentral:rRNA from 1 species